AUGACAUGCUGUGCUGUCUUUCUCUUUCCUUUUCUGUCUCGCGCUCUCUGUGUGUGUGUGUCUCUCUCGCGCUCUGUGUGUGUGUGUGUGUGUGUGUGUGUGUGUGUCUCUCUCGCGCUCUCUCUGUGUGUGUCUCUCUCUCGCGCUCUCUCUGUGUGUGUGUCUCUCUCGCGCUCUCUCUGUGUGUGUGUCUCUCUCGCGCUCUCUCUGUGUGUGUGUGUCUCUCUCGCUCUCUCUCUUGUGUGUGUGUGUGUCUCUCUCGCGCUCUCUCUGUGUGUGUGUGUGUGUCUCUCUCGCGCUCUCUCUGUGUGUGUGUGUGUGUGUCUCUCUCGCGCUCUCUCUGUGUGUGUGUGUGUGUGUGUGUCUCUCUCGCUCUCGCGCUCUCUCUCUGUAUGUGUGUGUGUGUGUCUCUCUCUCGCGCGUUCUCUGUGUGUGUGUCGCUCUCUCGCGCUCGCUCUCGCUCUCUCUCUGUGUGUGUGUGUCUCUCUCUUGCGCUCUCUCUGUGUGUGUCUCUCUCUUGCGCUCUCUCUGUGUGUGUGUGUGUGUGUGUGUCUCUCUUGCGCUCUCUCUCUGUGUGUGUCUCUCUCUCGCGCUCUGUGUGUGUGUGUCUCUCUCUCGCGCUCUGUGUGUGUGUCUCUCUCUCGCGCUCUCUGUGUGUGUGUGUGUCUCUCUCGCGCUCUCUGUGUGUGUGUGUGUGUGUGUGUGUGUCUCUUUCUCGCGCUCUCUGUGUGUGUGUGUCUCUUUCUCGCGCUCUCUGUGUGUGUGUGUCUCUCUCUCGCGCUCUGUGUGUGUGUCUCUCUCUCGCUCUGUGUGUGUGUGUGUGUCUCUCUCGCGCCCUCUGUCUCUCUCUCGCUCUGUGUGUGUGUGUCUCUCUCGCGCCCUCUGUGUGUCUCGCGCCCUCUGUCUCUCUCUCGCUCUGUGUGUGUCUCUCUCGCGCCCUCUGUGUGUGUCUCGCGCCCUCUGUCUCUCUCUCGCUCUGUGUGUGUGUGUGUCUCUCGCGCCCUCUGUCUCUCUCUCGCGCUCUCUGUGUGUGUGUCUCGCGCUCUCUGUGUGUGUGUCUCGCGCUCUCUGUGUGUGUGUCUCGCGCUCUCUGUGUGUGUGUCUCGCGCUCUCUGUGUGUGUGUCUCGCGUUCUCUGUGUGUGUUUCGCGUUCUCUGUGUGUGUGUUUCGCGUUCUCUGUGUGUGUGUGUGUGUGUGUCUCUCGCGCUCUCUGUCUCGCUCUCUCUUUCUCUCUGUUUUUCCACCCAUCUUAACGUUGAUGAUGAUGACGGAUGUCAGACGAGAGUGGGCUCUCAUCCGUAA
rnacentral:lncRNA from 8 species